rnacentral:rRNA from 1 species
GCGGUCUGCUUACACAUGCAAGUCGAACGGAGUACUUCGGUACUUAGUGGCGGACGGGUGAGUAACGCGUGAGGAUCUGCCCUCAGGAGGGGGACAACGACUGGAAACGGUCGCUAAUACCCCAUAUGCCGAGAGGUGAAAUGUUUUUUCGCCUGAGGAUGAGCUCGCGUCAGAUUAGCUAGUUGGUGGGGUAACGGCCUACCAAGGCGACGAUCUGUAGCUGGUCUGAGAGGAUGAUCAGCCACACUGGGACUGAGACACGGCCCAGACUCCUACGGGAGGCAGCAGUGGGGAAUUUUCCGCAAUGGGCGAAAGCCUGACGGAGCAAGACCGCGUGAGGGAUGACGGUCUAUUGGUUGUAAACCUCUUUUGUCUGGGAAGA